rnacentral:rRNA from 1 species
UGAAAGCCCGCGGCUUAACUUGCGGGAUUGCAUUUUAAACUAUUGAGCUAGAGUACAGGAGAGGAAAGCGGAAUUCCCAGUGUAGCGGUGAAAUGCGUAGAUAUUGGGAAGAACACCAGUGGCGAAGGCGGCUUUCUGGACUGAAACUGACGCUGAGGCACGAGAGCGUGGGGAGCGAACAGGAUUAGAUACCCUGGUAGUCCACGCCGUAAACGAUGAGUGCUAGGUGUCGGAGGGGAACCUUCGGUGCCGCAGCAAACGCAAUAAGCACUCCACCUGGGGAGUACGAUCGCAAGAUUGAAACUCAAAGGAAUUGACGGGGGCCCGCACAAGCGGUGGAGCAUGUGGUUUAAUUCGAAGCAACGCGAAGAACCUUACCAAGGCUUGACAUCCCGAUGCCGCACAUAGAGAUAUGUGUUUUCUACGGAACAUCGGAGACAGGUGGUGCAUGGUUGUCGUCAGCUCGUGUCGUGAGAUGUUGGGUUAAGUCCCGCAACGAGCGCAACCCUUAUCUUUAGUAGCCAGCAGUAAGAUGGGCACUCUAGAGAGACUGCCGUGGAUAACACGGAGGAAGGUGGGGAUGACGUCAAAUCAUCAUGCCCCUUAUGUCUUGGGCAACACACGUGCUACAAUGGGCGGAACAAAGUGAAGCAAAGCCGCGAGGUGGAGCGAAGCACAAAAAUCCGUUCUCAGUUCGGAUUGUAGUCUGCAACUCGACUACAUGAAGCUGGGAUCGCUAGUAAUCGCGAAUCAGCAUGUCGCGGUGAAUACGUUCCCGGGCCUUGUACGCACCGCCCGUCACACCAUGGGAGUUCGGAAGCACCCGAAGCCUGUGACCUAUCACUAGGGAGGAGCAGUCCGAAGGUGAAGCCGUGAUUGGGUGUAGUCAUUAACAAG